rnacentral:rRNA from 1 species
UAAGAGCUGAUCGGGCUCGGCCCGAUCCUCCCACCCUUUGUGUACCUACCUCUGUUGCUUUGGCGGGCCGCGGUCCUCCGCGGCCGCCCCCCUCCCCGGGGGGGUGGCCAGCGCCCGCCAGAGGACCAUCAAACUCCAGUCAGUAAACGAUGCAGUCUGAAAAACAUUUAAUAAACUAAAACUUUCAACAACGGAUCUCUUGGUUCUGGCAUCGAUGAAGAACGCAGCGAAAUGCGAUAAGUAAUGUGAAUUGCAGAAUUCAGUGAAUCAUCGAAUCUUUGAACGCACAUUGCGCCCUUUGGUAUUCCGAAGGGCAUGCCUGUUCGAGCGUCAUUACAACCCUCAAGCUCUGCUUGGUAUUGGGCACCGUCCUUUGCGGGCGCGCCUCAAAGACCUCGGCGGUGGCGUCUUGCCUCAAGCGUAGUAGAACAUACAUCUCGCUUCGGAGCGCAGGGCGUCGCCCGCCGGACGAACCUUCUGAACUUUUCUCAAGGUUGACCUCGGAUCAGGUAGGGAUACCCGCUGAACUUAAGCAUAUCAUAAGG